UAGCAAGCUGGCGGCGUGCUUAACACAUGCAAGUCGAGUGCGCGUUUCCGUAGCAAUACGGGAAUGGCGCACGGCGCACGGGUGCGUAACACGUGGGUAAUCUGCCCUCUGAUGGGGAAUAACCCGCCGAAAGGCGGGCUAAUACCGCAUAACAUUCCUUGGACUCCGGUUCGAGGAUUCAAAGGCGCAAGUCGUCGGAGGUGGAGCCCGCGCACGAUUAGCUAGUUGGUAGGGUAAUGGCCUACCAAGGCUAUGAUCGUUAGCUGGUCUGAGAGGAUGGCCAGCCACACUGGAACUGAGACACGGUCCAGACUCCUACGGGAGGCAGCAGUGGGGAAUCUUGCACAAUGGGCGAAAGCCUGAUGCAGCGACGCCGCGUGGGGGAUGAAGCUUCUCGGAGUGUAAACCCCUUUCGACCGGGACGAAUGCCCGCAAGGGACUGACGGUACCGGUAUAAGAAGCCCCGGCUAACUACGUGCCAGCAGCCGCGGUAAGACGUAGGUGGCCAGCGUUGCUCGGAAUUACUGGGUGUAAAGGGUUCGUAGGCGGUGUGGCAAGUCGGGAGUGAAAUCUCUGGGCUUAACUCAGGGGCUGCUUCCGAAACUGCCGUGCUAAAGUGUGGGAAAGGCGCGUGGAAUUGCAGGUGUUACCGGUGAAAUGCGUUAAAUAUCUUGCAGGAACA
rnacentral:rRNA from 1 species